rnacentral:rRNA from 1 species
GAUGAACGCUGGCGGCGUGCCUAAUACAUGCAAGUCGAGCGAACAGACGAGGAGCUUGCUCCUCUGACGUUAGCGGCGGACGGGUGAGUAACACGUGGAUAACCUACCUAUAAGACUGGGAUAACUUCGGGAAACCGGAGCUAAUACCGGAUAAUAUAUUGAACCGCAUGGUUCAAUAGUGAAAGACGGUUUUGCUGUCACUUAUAGAUGGAUCCGCGCCGCAUUAGCUAGUUGGUAAGGUAACGGCUUACCAAGGCAACGAUGCGUAGCCGACCUGAGAGGGUGAUCGGCCACACUGGAACUGAGACACGGUCCAGACUCCUACGGGAGGCAGCAGUAGGGAAUCUUCCGCAAAGGGCGAAAGCCUGACGGAGCAACGCCGCGUGAGUGAUGAAGGUCUUCGGAUCGUAAAGCUCUGUUAUUAGGGAAGAACAAAUGUAUAAGUAACUAUGCACGUCUUGACGGUACCUAAUCAGAAAGCCACGGCUAACUACGUG